UACCAGCACCCCGAGUGGUCGGGACGAUUAUUGGGCCUAAAGCAUCCGUAGCCGGUUCUGCAAGUCCCCCGUUAAAUCCAGCUGCUCAACAGAUGGGCCGCGGAGGAUACUACAGAGCUAGGAGGCAGGAGAGGCAAGCGGUACUCAGUGGGUAGGGGUAAAAUCCGUUGAUCCAUUGAAGACCACCAGUAGCGAAGGCGGCUUGCCAGAAUGCGCUCGACGGUGAGGGAUGAAAGCUGGGGGAGCAAACCGG
rnacentral:rRNA from 1 species